UACAGAGACUGCAAGCGUUAUUCGGAUUCACUGGGCGGAAAGGGUGCGCAGGCGGUCGGGUGUGUCAGAUGUGAAAUCCCGAGGCUCAACCUCGGAACUGCGUCUGAAACUACUCGACUAGAGUACUGGAGAGGGUAACGGAAUUCACGGUGUAGCAGUGAAAUGCGUAGAUAUCGUGAGGAACACCAGAGGCGAAGGCGGUUACCUGGACAGUUACUGACGCUCAGGCACGAAAGCAUGGGGAGCAAACAGG
rnacentral:rRNA from 1 species